UAACGGAUAUUGGGCAAUGGGCGAAAGCCUGACCCAGCGACGCCGCGUGCGGGAGGAAGCCCUUCGGGGUGUAAACCGCUGUCAGGGGUAAGAAAGUCCGUUUCGGCGGAUUGAUCUAACCCAGAGGAAGUCACGGCUAACUCUGUGCCAGCAGCCGCGGUAAGACAGAGGUGGCUAGCGUUGUUCGGUAUCACUGGGCUUAAAGCGUGUGUAGGCGGAAGCGUAAGCAUGUUGUGAAAUCCCCCGGCUUAACCGGGGAAGCGCUUGAUGUACUGCUUUUCUUGAGGCAGGUAGGGGGGCGAGGAACUCGUGGUGGAGCGGUGGAAUGCGUAGAUAUCAAGAGGAACGCCGGUGGUGAAGACGUCGCACUGGGCCUGUCCUGACGCUGAGACACGAAAGCGUGGGGAGCGAACG
rnacentral:rRNA from 1 species